AACGAACGCUGGCGGCAUGCCUAACACAUGCAAGUCGAACGAGACCUUCGGGUCUAGUGGCGCACGGGUGCGUAACGCGUGGGAACCUGCCCUUAGGUUCGGAAUAACUCCCCGAAAGGGGUGCUAAUACCGGAUAAUGUCUUCGGACCAAAGAUUUAUCGCCUUUGGAUGGGCCCGCGUUGGAUUAGCUAGUUGGUAGGGUAAAAGCCUACCAAGGCGACGAUCCAUAGCUGGUCUGAGAGGAAGAUCAGCCACACUGGGACUGAGACACGGCCCAGACUCUUACGCGAGGCAGCAGUGGAGAAUACUAGACAAGGGGCCAAAGCCUGAACCAGCAAUGCCGCGUGAGUGAUGAAGGCCUUAGGGUUGUAAAGCGCUAUUACCCGGGAUGCUAAUGACAGUACCGGGAGAAUAAGCACCGGCUAACUCCGUG
rnacentral:rRNA from 1 species